rnacentral:tRNA from 1 species
GGGAAGGUGGCUCAGUGGUAGAGUGCUUGCCUUGUAUGCAUGAAGCCCUGGGUUCCAUUCCUUAGCAUCACA